rnacentral:lncRNA from 1 species
UACUUUGGUGAAGACAAAUAAAAAUACGACGCGUGGCUUAAAGUUUAUUUUUGUACGCGGCGUCGCAUGCUGCGAUCCAAACCAUACGCACCGGGUACGGGUUUGCCCGCACCCUCCCACCACGCUCGGACUACCUAACCAUGGGAAGGGAGGUCGGACGCACGUUAUAUUAUUUAAUUAUUUUCUAUCAAAAAAAGAAAUAUGUGAUCGUGAGUAAUGUUACGAGUCUAAACCUGGUAUUUAUUAAAAAAAAAAAAGACAGGAAUGGAUUGAUGUGAUUCACCAUCGUUUAUUUAUGCCAGAAAUAAGUUCUUUUG